rnacentral:rRNA from 1 species
AUUGAACGCUGGCGGCAUGCCUUACACAUGCAAGUCGAACGGUAACAGGUCUUCAGAUGCUGACGAGUGGCGAACGGGUGAGUAAUACAUCGGAACGUGCCCGAUCGUGGGGGAUAACGCAGCGAAAGCUGUGCUAAUACCGCAUACGAUCUACGGAUGAAAGCGGGGGACUCGCAAGGGCCUCGCGCGGACGGAGCGGCCGAUGGGCAGAUUAGGUAGUUGGUGGGAUAAAAGCUUACCAAGCCGACGAUCUGUAGCUGGUCUGAGAGGACGACCAGCCACACUGGGACUGAGACACGGCCCAGACUCCUACGGGAGGCAGCAGUGGGGAAUUUUGGACAAUGGGCGCAAGCCUGAUCCAGCCAUGCCGCGUGCAGGAUGAAGGCCUUCGGUUGUAAACUGUCUUUGUACGGAACGAAAAGACUCUCUCUAAUACAGGGGUGAAUGACGGUACCGUAAGAAUAAGCACCGGCUAACUACGUGCC